rnacentral:rRNA from 1 species
AGUCAUAUGCUUGUCUCAAAGAUUAAGCCAUGCAUGUCUCAGUACAAGCCUAAUUAAGGUGAAACCGCGAAAGGCUCAUUAAAUCAGUUAUGGUUCCUUAGAUCGUACCCACAUUUACUUGGAUAACUGUGGUAAUUCUAGAGCUAAUACAUGCAAACAGAGCUCCGACCGGAGACGGAAGGAGCGCUUUUAUUAGAUCAAAACCAAUCGGCGGCGGGUUCGCUCGUUCGUCGUACACCUUGGUGAAUCUGAAUAACUUUCUGCUGAUCGCAUGGUCUCGCACCGGCGACGCAUCUUUCAAAUGUCUGCCUUAUCAACUGUCGAUGGUAGGUUCUGCGCCUACCAUGGUUGUAACGGGUAACGGGGAAUCAGGGUUCGAUUCCGGAGAGGGAGCCUGAGAAACGGCUACCACAUCCAAGGAAGGCAGCAGGCGCGCAAAUUACCCACUCCCGGCACGGGGAGGUAGUGACGAAAAAUAACGAUACGGGACUCAUCCGAGGCCCCGUAAUCGGAAUGAGUACACUCUAAACCCUUUAACGAGGAUCAAUUGGAGGGCAAGUCUGGUGCCAGCAGCCGCGGUAAUUCCAGCUCCAAUAGCGUAU